rnacentral:misc_RNA from 1 species
GUCUUGACCCUUGUUAUAUUCUUGCUUCUUGUCUCAGAUACUAAAUAUUUGGAGGGAAUUUUUAUUGAGUCUGAAUUUGGAUUAUCUUCAAACAUGUCUUUUCCAUGGAAGAAGUUGAAGAAGACAAGUAUAUCUCAAUUGGUGAAGGACCAUAUUCAUUCUCAAAAACCUCUUAUGGUGGAAACUGGUUUCCCUUCUUCCCUUGUGGAUCUUUUUGUCAAGAAUCGUCGAAAGUUCAUGAAAACUUCCAAGAAAAA